rnacentral:rRNA from 1 species
GCAUAUCAAUAAGCGGAGGAAAAGAAACCAACAGGGAUUGCCCUAGUAACGGCGAGUGAAGCGGCAACAGCUCAAAUUUGAAAUCUGGCUUUCGGGCCCGAGUUGUAAUUUGUAGAGGAUGAUUUUGAUGCGGUGCCUUCCGAGUUCCCUGGAACGGGACGCCAUAGAGGGUGAGAGCCCCGUCUGGUUGGAUGCCAAAUCUCUGUAAAUCUCCUUCGACGAGUCGAGUAGUUUGGGAAUGCUGCUCUAAAUGGGAGGUAUAUGUCUUCUAAAGCUAAAUACCGGCCAGAGACCGAUAGCGCACAAGUAGAGUGAUCGAAAGAUGAAAAGCACUUUGAAAAGAGAGUUAAAAAGUACGUGAAAUUGUUGAAAGGGAAGCGUUUAUGACCAGACUUGGGCUUGGUUAAUCAUCUGGGGUUCUCUCCAGUGCACUUUUCCAGUCCAGGCCAGCAUCAGUUUUCGCCGGGGGAUAAAGGCUUCGGGAAUGUGGCUCCCCUCGGGGAGUGUUAUAGCCCGUUGUGUAAUACCCUGGUGGGGACUGAGGUUCGCGCUUCUGCAAGGAUGCUGGCGUAAUGGUCAUCAACGACCCGUCUUGAAACACGGACCAAGGAGUCGUCUUCGUAUGCGAGUGUUCGGGUGUCAAACCCCUACGCGUAAUGAAAGUGAACGCAGGUGAGAGCUUCGGCGCAUCAUCGACCGAUCCUGAUGUUCUCGGAUGGAUUUGAGUAAGAGCAUACGGGGCCGGACCCGAAAGAAGGUGAACUAUGCCUGUGUAGGGUGAAGCCAGAGGAAACUCUGGUGGAGGCUCGCAGCGGUUCUGACGUGCAAAUCGAUCGUCAAACAUGGGCAUGGGGGCGAAAGACUAAUCGAACCUUCUAGUAGCUGGNUUCCGCCGA